rnacentral:rRNA from 1 species
CCUACGGGAGGCAGCAGUAGGGAAUCUUCCACAAUGGACGAAAGUCUGAUGGAGCAACGCCGCGUGAGUGAAGAAGGGUUUCGGCUCGUAAAGCUCUGUUGGUAGUGAAGAAAGAUAGAGGUAGUAACUGGCCUUUAUUUGACGGUAAUUGCUUAGACAGUCCCGGCUAACUACGUGCCAGCAGCCGCGGUAAUACGUAGGUGGCAAGCGUUGUCCGGAUUUAUUGGGCGUAAAGCGAGUGCAGGCGGUUCAAUAAGUCUGAUGUGAAAGCCUUCGGCUCAACCGGAGAAUUGCAUCAGAAACUGUUGUACUUGAGUGCAGAAGAGGAGAGUGGAACUCCAUGUGUAGCGGUGGAAUGCGUAGAUAUAUGGAAGAACACCAGUGGCGAAGGCGGCUCUCUGGGCUGCAACUGACGCUGAGGCUCGAAAGCAUGGGUAGCGAACAGGAUUAGAUACCCCAGUAGUC